UACGUAGGGCGCAAGCGUUGUCCGGAAUUAUUGGGCGUAAAGAGCUCGUAGGCGGCCAGUUGCGUCCGCUGUGAAAUCCUGGGGCUUAACCCCGGGCGUGCAGUGGAUACGGGCUGGCUAGAGGCAGGCAGGGGAGAACGGAAUUCCCGGUGUAGCGGUGAAAUGCGCAGAUAUCGGGAGGAACACCGGUGGCGAAGGCGGUUCUCUGGGGCUUUGCUGACGCUGAUGCGCGAAAGCGUGGGGAGCGAUCCGG
rnacentral:rRNA from 1 species